CUAGCCGGCCAUUACUCUCUCAUCUUUGCUCUCUCCCAGAAACAGAGCAAAGCAACCAGAGAAGAGUGACGAGGAAGAAGAAGAAGAAGAAGCAAAGGUUCAACCUUUAGUUUUGCGAGGGAAGUACGAACCCACCAAACAGCCGAAGUCCCAAAACCCCAAGUCCAGUCACUGCAAACAAAGCUAGAAAAACCAGUGAAGAGAGUGAGAGGAAAAUGUUUGCUUCAGAAAAUGGACUCAAAGGAGACCCAAGGCUUCAGGCCAUAUCUGAAGCCAUCAGGGUUGUGCCUCACUUCCCAAAACAAGGAAUAAUGUUUCAGGACAUCACAACAUUGUUGCUUGAUCACAAGGCCUUCAAGCAUACUGUCGACAUUUUUGUUGAUCGCUACAGAGACAUGGACAUCUCUGUUGUUGCUGGAGUGGAAGCCAGAGGGUUCAUGUUUGGUCCUGCAAUUGCCUUAGCUAUUGGUGCCAAGUUUGUUCCUUUGCGUAAACCCAGAAAGUUGCCGGGAGAAGUAAUUUCAGAAGCAUAUGAACUCGAGUAUGGAACUGAUUGCUUGGAGAUGCAUGUUGGUGCUGUUCAGCCUGGAGAACGUGCAUUGGUCAUCGAUGAUCUAAUCGCUACGGGUGGGACAUUGUCAGCAGCAAUAAGCCUGUUAGAGCGCGUGGGGGCAGAAGUGGUCGAAUGUGGAUGUGUUAUCGGGUUGCCUGAGGUUAAGUUUAUCUUCUCUCAACGAUUGUGACCUUUCAGGGACAGUGCAGGCUAAAUGGAAAGCCACUUUAUAUUCUUGUGGAGCCAAGAGAGCUAGAUAACUGUUGCUGAGGAGAUUUCAAUUGUGCUUGGGCUGACUACAGCAACUUUAUGCUGACCUGUGCCGGACAGUCCUUGAGGUCUUUGGUGACAGAACUCUGCUGCACAAGGCUCAUUGUGGAUUAACUUAUCUUUCUGUGAGAUCUGCAUCGCCCCGUAGGUUUUCAUGUAACCUAGUCGUUUCGAACAAAGCUUGAACAGAGGUUCCAAGAUAUUGGUUUAUUCUUGAAUGGGAAACCUUUAUUGUUGCAUC